UAGAAUUCCACGUGUAGCGGUGAAAUGCGUAGAGAUGUGGAGGAAUACCGGUGGCGAAGGCGGCCUUCUGGACAGAUACUGACGCUGAGAUGCGAAAGCGUGGGGAGCAAACAGGAUUAGAUACCCUGGUAGUCCACGCUGUAAACGAUGUCGAUUUGGAGUUUGUUGCCUAGAGUGAUGGGCUCCGAAGCUAACGCGAUAAAUCGACCGCCUGGGGAGUACGGCCGCAAGGUUAAAACUCAAAUGAAUUGACGGGGGCCCGCACAAGCGGUGGAGCAUGUGGUUUAAUUCGAUGCAACGCGAAGAACCUUACCUGGUCUUGACAUCCACAGAAUCUUGCAGAGAUGCGAGAGUGCCUUCGGGAACUGUGAGACAGGUGCUGCAUGGCUGUCGUCAGCUCGUGUUGUGAAAUGUUGGGUUAAGUCCCGCAACGAGCGCAACCCUUAUCCUUUGUUGCCAGCGAUUCGGUCGGGAACUCAAAGGAGACUGCCGUUGAUAAAGCGGAGGAAGGUGGGGACGACGUCAAGUCAUCAUGGCCCUUACGACCAGGGCUACACACGUGCUACAAUGGCGUACACAAAGGGAGGCGACCUCGCGAGAGCAAGCGGACCUCAUAAAGUACGUCUAAGUCCGGAUUGGAGUCUGCAACUCGACUCCAUGAAGUCGGAAUCGCUAGUAAUCGUGAAUCAGAAUGU
rnacentral:rRNA from 1 species